UGAAACUUUGUUAUAAAUAGGCUCGAAAUGGGCUUGGCAUAAUAUAUUGCAACUUGGAAGAAUCAGAGAGUUGCUUUUAUUUGGUAACCGUACAAGUAAUAAAUGAUGAUGAAAAAUUCUCAAGUGUCAUCUCCAACCAUAAUCUUCUUUGUUACGCUCAUCCUUCUCCAAACCGUCUCUGCCAGGAACCUACUCCAACAAAAUUACCUCGCCACGGAAUCUCCCCAAAUCGGUAUGUAAUUGUUAAAAAUCGUUAUAUCUUAAUAAUUUAAGUUGUUGGGAGAGGAUUUUGAUUGAUAUUUAUAUUAGUCACUAGCACGCCCCUCCCCUUCAAACGGAAGUUCUUAUAAGAGGCUGAAGUUUGCACAGCUUCGAUGAGUCAUGUGUACGGAUAGGAGGGUAUCGGGAUUCAAAACGGAGACCUUUCGGUCAUGUAUGGCUCUGGUACCAUGUCAAGAACCAUUGCAUCCCAAUAACUCGAGUUGUUGGGAGAGGUUUUUGAUCGAUAUUUAUAUUAGUACUAUCCAAAUAUUCGUAUCCAAUCAAUCCGUAAUUGGUACGUAGAAUGCGGGAUGAAAUCUUGAAUAUUUUCCCAUUUGAAUGGGAAACUUAGAUUUCAACGACGUGUAUGUAAACAAUUAACUUUUUAUUUCCAUCCAAAUUUAUUCCACGUAACAAAAUAUUUUUGUAAAAAAAAUAAUUUAUAUAUGUAUUUGUGGUCUCCAUAUUGAAAUGAAAUUAGGGUAUAGCGAAGAGAAGGACAAUAUAAACAACAAUAAUAAUUAUAACCAGCUACGGUCCGGUGAUCAAUAUGGAUAUGGUCAAGGUGGAUCCGGCGGCGGGGUACCGACUAAACUGCCGCCAAAGUAUGGAAAUGGCGUAAACCCCUGAAUACCAGCAGCAGGGUCGUCGUCGGUGCAUGCGGCUACAGUUAAUAUAAAGAGUAUUGUUUCAAAUAAAGCUAAGCAUGCUGAUAAGGCUAGAAUUUGUAGCAAUUAUCUAUCCUUAUAUGCAUGCUUUUUGAGUGAUUAUUAGUUUGUUCGAGCUUCAUUCUUGUGUGAUUUAGUGUUUUGGCAUUAUGUGUCUAGACCCGUUCAUUUGGACCGUUUCGGUCCAUUUGAUGUGUUUCUUUGUAGUAUUUGUUGUCCACAGGUACUCUAGAGAUAGGUGGUCUUGUUAUGAAGCAAUGAACGUGAAGUAGAGCACGGUUGGAGCUCGAACGGAAGAUUGAGAAAUGAAAUGGAAGAGCAGAGGGGUUGCACGUCGUGCACCUAUGCACGCCGUGCACCCCUAGGAUGCUUCCAAAUCACGGCCCUUAAGCAGGGGAACGUCGUGCACCCUUGCACGGCGUUCCUCCCAUUCAAAUACGCAAAAAGUUUGAAAAAAGGAGGUGCACGCCGUGCAUGUGUGCACGCCGUGCACCCCCCAGUUUCAGCAACUUCCUAUAAAAGGGCUAAUUUUGAGGAAAGAG
rnacentral:lncRNA from 1 species